rnacentral:rRNA from 1 species
CACGUAGGGUCCGAGCGUUGUCCGGAAUUACUGGGCGUAAAGCGCGCGCAGGCGGUCCGGUCAGUCGAUGGUGAAAGCCCCACGCUCAACGUGGGAAGGUCCGUCGAGACGGCCGGACUGGAGGCAGGGAGAGGCCGGUGGAAUUCCGGGUGUAGUGGUGAAAUGCGUAGAGAUCCGGAGGAACACCAGAGGCGAAGGCGGCCGGCUGGACCUGACCUGACGCUGAGGCGCGAAGGCGUGGGGAGCGAACGGG